GUCCACGCUGUAAACGAUGGAUGCUAGCCGUUGGCGGGUUUACCCGUCAGUGGCGCAGCUAACGCAUUAAGCAUCCCGCCUGGGGAGUACGGUCGCAAGAUUAAAACUCAAAGGAAUUGACGGGGGCCCGCACAAGCGGUGGAGCAUGUGGUUCAAUUCGAAGCAACGCGCAGAACCUUACCAGCUCUAGACUGUUCGGUCGCGGAUUCCAGAGAUGGUUUCCUUCAGUUCGGCUGGACCGAAUUCAGGUGCUGCAUGGCUGUCGU
rnacentral:rRNA from 1 species